rnacentral:rRNA from 1 species
CAGCAGCCGCGGGAAAACGUAGGUGGCAAGCGUUGUCCGGAAUUAUUGGGCGUAAAGGGCUCGCAGGCGGUUUCUUAAGUCUGAUGUGAAAGCCCCCGGCUCAACCGGGGAGGGUCAUUGGAAACUGGGAAACUUGAGUGCAGAAGAGGAGAGUGGAAUUCCACGUGUAGCGGUGAAAUGCGUAGAGAUGUGGAGGAACACCAGUGGCGAAGGCGACUCUCUAGUCUGUAACUGACGCUGAGGAGCGAAAGCGUGGGGAGCGAACAGGAUUAGAUACCCCUGUAGUCCCUGUCUCUUAUAC